AGAGUUUGAUCCUGGCUCAGAACGAACGCUGGCGGCGUGCUUAACACAUGCAAGUCGCGUGCGCAGUUUCCGUAGCAAUACGGGGAUGGGCGCACGGCGCACGGGUGCGUAACACGUGGGCAAUCUGCCCUCCGAUGGGGAAUACCCCCGCGAAAGCGGGACUAAUUCCGCAUAACAUUCCUUGGAUUAACUUUCGAGGAUUCAAAGCAGCAAUGCGUCGGAGGAGGAGCCCGCGCCCGAUUAGCUAGUUGGCGAGGUAACGGCUCACCAAGGCAAUGAUCGGUAGCUGGUCUGAGAGGAUGGCCAGCCACACUGGAACUGAGACACGGUCCAGACUCCUACGGGAGGCAGCAGUGGGGAAUCUUGCACAAUGGGCGAAAGCCUGAUGCAGCGACGCCGCGUGGGGGAUGAAGCUUUUCGGAGUGUGAACCCCUUUCGACUGGGACGAAUGCCUCGCAAGAGGAGUGACGGUACCAGUAUAAGAAGCCCCGGCUAACUACGUGCCAGCAGCCGCGGUAAGACGUAGGGGGCCAGCGUUGUUCGGAAUUACUGGGUGUAAAGGGUUCGUAGGCGGUGUGGCAAGUCGGGAGUGAAAUCUCUGGGCUCAACCCAGAGACUGCUUCCGAAACUGCUGUGCUUGAGUGUGAGAGAGGCUCGUGGAAUUGCAGGUGUAGCGGUGAAAUGCGUAGAUAUCUGCAGGAACACCCGUGGUGAAAGCGGCGAGCUGGAUCACUACUGACGCUGAGGAACGAAAGCUAGGGGAGCAAACAGGAUUAGAUACCCUGGUAGUCCUAGCCCUAAACGAUCAGGACUUGGGGUGCCGCCCGUUCGGGCGUCGUCCCGGAGCUAACGCGUUAAGUCCUGCACCUGGGGAGUACGGUCGCAAGACUGAACUCAAGGAAUUGACGGGGGCCCGCACAGCGGUGGAACAUGUGGUUCAAUUCGACGCUACGCGAGGAACCUUACCUGGGCUCGAAAUGCUAGUGACCAGC
rnacentral:rRNA from 1 species